GACGAACGCUGGCGGCGUGCCUAACACAUGCAAGUCAACUUGACUGAAGGAGCAAUCUGACAGUAGAGUGGCGCAAGGGUGCGUAACGCGUAAGUAACUUGCCCAAGGUAAGGAAUAACGUCGAGAAAUCGGCGCUAAUACCUCAUAAUGCAGCGGAUCCGCAUGGAUAUGUUGUUAAAGGUUUACCGCCUUGGGAUAGGCUUGCGUCUGAUUAGCUAGUUGGUGUGGUAACGGCACACCAAGGCUACGAUCAGUAACUGGUCUGAGAGGAUGAUCAGUCACACUGGAACUGAGACACGGUCCAGACUCCUACGGGAGGCAGCAGUGAGGAAUAUUGGGCAAUGCUCGAAAGAGUGACCCAGCAACGCCGCGUGGAGGAUGAAGGUAUUCUAUAUCGUAAACUCCUAGUGAGAGCAGACGAAAGACAGAUUAUAAUCUGGAUGACUGUAUACUCAGA
rnacentral:rRNA from 1 species